AUAGCGUAUAUUAAAGUUGUUGCAGUUAAAAAGCUCGUAGUUGGAUCUCGGGUCCAGGCUCGCGGUUCGUUUCGCGACGAUACUGCCCGUCCUGACCUACCUCCCGGUUUUCCCCCGGUGCUCUUCGCUGAGUGCCUCGGGUGGCCGGAACGUUUACUUUGAAAAAAUUAGAGUGCUCAAAGCAGGCAGUUUGCCUGAAUAACCGCGCAUGGAAUAAUGGAAUAGGACCUCGGUUCUAUUUUGUUGGUCUUUCGGAACAUUCGAGGUAAUGAUUAAGAGGGACAGACGGGGGCAUUCGUAUUGUGGGGUUAGAGGUGAAAUUCUUGGAUCCCCACAAGACGAACUACAG
rnacentral:rRNA from 1 species